UACGAAGGGGGCUAGCGUUGUUCGGAUUUACUGGGCGUAAAGCGCACGUAGGCGGAUUGUUAAGUCAGGGGUGAAAUCCUGGAGCUCAACUCCAGAACUGCCUUUGAUACUGGCAAUCUUGAGUCCGGAAGAGGUGAGUGGAACUCCUAGUGUAGAGGUGGAAUUCGUAGAUAUUCGGAAGAACACCAGUGGCGAAGGCGACUUACUGGACACAUAUUGACGCUGAGGUGCGAAAGCGUGGGGAGCAAACAGG
rnacentral:rRNA from 1 species